rnacentral:rRNA from 1 species
GACGAACGCUGGCGGCGUGCCUAAUACAUGCAUGUUGAGCGCUGAAGGUUGGUACUUGUACCAACUGGAUGAGCAGCGAACGGGUGAGUAACGCGUGGGGAAUCUGCCUUUGAGCGGGGGACAACAUUUGGAAACGAAUGCUAAUACCGCAUAAAAACUUUAAACACAAGUUUUAAGUUUGAAAGAUGCAAUUGCAUCACUCAAAGAUGAUCCCGCGUUGUAUUAGCUAGUUGGUGAGGUAAAGGCUCACCAAGGCGAUGAUACAUAGCCGACCUGAGAGGGUGAUCGGCCACAUUGGGACUGAGACUCGGCCCAAACUCCUACGGGAGGCAGCAGUAGGGAAUCUUCGGCAAUGGACGAAAGUCUGACCGAGCAACGCCGCGUGAGUGAAGAAGGUUUUCGGAUCGUAAAACUCUGUUGGUAGAGAAGAACGUUGGUGAGAGUGGAAAGCUCAUCAAGUGACGGUAACUACCCAGAAAGGGACGGCUAACUACGUG